AUCAAAUUUUGGGAUUUAAGGGGCACACAGAGACACACACAAGGAGGACGAAAUAGGAGCGACAAGGAGAAGAAGGAAAGGAAGGAGGUAAUUGGAUGCCCGACAGCCUCCAGCUCGCCCUUUUCCCUUUUCGGGCACUUCCUCAACGAGAUGUCGCGGCCGCCGCAGCUCCCUUCCUCCAAUCGGCAGCGGAGCCCUCCUCGAAAGAGGGGACUGAGGGACAUUUCUUACCUCUGAUCUAGACCGUUCACUCGUGGACUGUUAUGGGAUGCUGUCCCUAUUGUUUUGGAGAGGUUUUGCUUGGCUUCGACGACUGAAAAUCAUGCUUGACUGCUGAGUCGAUUGAUUAGAUAGUUCUUGGUGCAAUUCGGGUGCAAUAUAGAUCGGUUUGGACGAUUCGUGGUUGGGUUUGAAGUAGGGCUGAAUCAUAUGAUGUCUCUUUGUUUAAUUUAGGAGGUUUUAGCUCGAUCUUGACAGUUUAAUCUCGAAUUUAAGUUGCGUAUUACUGAGUUCCAUAUCAAUCCCUUGUUCUCUUGAUCAAUUUAUGCUUGUUCAAUUAGAAGUUAUGCUUUAUGCACAAGCUGUAUUAUAUGAUAAUGAAUUGACCGAUUUGAGGGUUUUGACACAUUUUGGAUUACUAAAGGAAGUGAUUAAGUUGUAGGCCGAGUUGCCUAUCAAUCCUUUGUCCGACUUAAGAUGAUUCUACAUGUUCAUGAUGACUUUAUGUUGUAUCUAAAUAUGUGGCUGAAUUGACUAAUAGAGGGAGGAUGAUAUUUGGUUAGCCUCAAGUUGAGUUUUGGGUGCUUGUUUAGUUGAUUGAUCCUCUGUUUGGCUGAUCUCGAUUUGGAGUAUAGACUAGAAUAAAUUAUAGAUGCCUCUAGAUGCCUGAUUACUUGUAUUUGGGUCUUCGUAAGAUCGAUUUAAAUAACCUUGCAUGCUGUCCAAUCAUGAAUGAGACCUGUAGAGGCUCGUUUAGGUCACUUUCAUGGCAUAUAGUAAGUUGUCUUCGUUCUUAUAUGCCUUGAGGUCAUUCUCCCCAGCUUUUCAUGCCAUUUCGGGUAUUCUAGGAUUGAAUUAAGGGACAUUUGAAUCAGGAUCAAAGUUGAUUUGAGGAUCUUGGAACUCACUUUUGUUAAGUCUAUAUUGAACUCGUUCCAUUGUUCCUAUAUUUGCAUUUGCCCCAAUUCUCUCGUUUCUCUCUCUUUCUUUUGCAUGUCUCUUCCUAUAUGCCUUGAGGUCAUUAUCCCUAGCUUUUCAUACCAUUUCGGGUAUUCUAGGGUCGAAUUAAGGGACAUUUGAAUCAUGAUUAGAGUUGAUUUUAGGAUCUUGGAACACACUUUUGUUUAGUCUAUCUUGAACUCAUUCUAUUAUUCCUAUAUUUGCAUUUGCCCUGAUUCUCUAGUUUCUCUAUCUUUCUUUUGCAUGUCUCUUCCUAUAUGCGUUGAGGUCAUUCUCCCUAGCUUUUCAUGCCAUUUCGGUAUUCUAGAAUUGAAUUAAAGGACAUUUGAAUCGGGAUCAGAGUUUAUUUGAGGAUCUUGGAACUCACUUUUGUCAAGUCUUUCUUGAACUCAUUCCAUUGUUCCUAUAUUUGUAUUUGCUUCGAUUCUCUCAUUUCUCUUUUUUUUUUCUUUUGCAUGUCUCUUGAGCAAGAGGAGGAGAAAUGAGGAGAGACGAUAGUUGUAUAGCUUUGAUGAAGGGGUUGGCUUAAGUUCGCCGCAAAGAUCGGAAAGCAACAGUCUGCUUAAUAUUAUUUCAGGUAUUAUUCUUAUUUCCAUUGGCAGUGACAGGUACGUGACUCACAACUCAUCUUAAAAGAACUACAUGUGCCCUGAUUCUCGAUAAAACGAGAUACGUAGGCACUCCAUCGUCGUGGAGUUCGAGUCCGACAUUCUAUCAAUUUCAUUGUGUGAAUGAGAUAAAGUCAUAACUACAUUCGAGUAAGCUUAUCAGCUGCAUAUUUCCUUACUUUUGUGGUUAUAAUGGAUAUGGAUCGAGGAGACCGUAAACUUGUACUCAAAUUGAUGAAUUAUUUUUAAUAGUUCUGUGAGUACUUUAUUUCCUUGUGAAAUGAUGUAUUAUGGUUAUAUAAAUUAUUUAAGAAGAAUAUUGUGAUAGGUAGAGAUUAAGGAAUCGGUCUUCCUAUCUUAGGUGAAAGGAUUUGAGAGAUAUUGCCCUCUUAUGUUUCAUUUUGACUUGAAUUAUGUGGUGUGAUUAUGCAUGCUAAUUGUGUAUGAGAUAUGUAAUGAUAAUAUGAUACCAUUAUAAUGUGAUUGGGAUUGGGAUUGUGUAUACUGAUAUUGUUUGAUUGUUAUAACCAUAGGACUUAUGAACCUAACGGAAUAAGAUUUGGGUUGUGGUUGACCACUAAUCCAGCGGGAUAUAAAAUGGACGUCUAGACCAUUGAUCCGGCGGGAUAUAAAAUGAACGACUAGACCGUUGAACCAGCGGGAUAUAAAAUGGAUGCCUAAACCGUUUAUCCGGUGGGAUAUAAAAUGGACGCCUAGAUUGCUGAACCGGCGGAAUAUAAAAUGGACGUAUGACUGCUGAUCUGGUGGGAUAUAAAAUUAAUGCCUAGAUCGUUGAGCUGGUGGGAUAUAAAAUGGACUCUUAGACCGCUUAAUCGGCGGGAUAUAAAAUGGACGUUAGGUUGGAGGUUUGAUGAUUAGUGGUGCUCGGUUAUGAGAAGUGUUAUGGUGAGUUACGAAAAUUUUAGCUUAGGUGCAAGGUCACGGUACUGGUUAUAACUCGAUUGUAAGGAAAUACGACCCUGUAACUAUAUUGAUUGGUUUUGUUGUAUAUUGUUUGUGUGGUCUGAUUGCUAUAGAUGUAAUGAUUGUUAAGGUUAUCUGAAGUUGUUCUAUGAACGUCGUGUUGUUAGCGAGAGCUUGAUUUAGUUAGUGUAUGAAUGUUAUGCGGUGGUAAGUUAAUGGUUAAUUCUAAUAUUAUAAUGUGAUUAUAAGAUAAUUGAUUGUUUAAAAAUGAAUUUAGUAGUUAUUUGUAGAUAUUGUAUAUGGUCCUGUGUUGGUUAAUUAAAUGUCGGUUUUAGGUAUGCUAGUAUUACCUAUAUGAAUCGUUUAAAAAUUAUUUUUAUUUAAUAUUAGUUCAUUUUACUGUAGAUUCUUAUGCUCACUAAGUGCAUGUCACACUCUGCAUAUUAUUUUUCCAGAUGGAUUAGAGAUUAGCUUGGCUGAGCCGAAAAAUCAUUUUUUAUAGCAGGGAUCAGCUUGGACGACAUCCUAAAUAGCCUUGUUUAUUUUAUAUUUAAUAGAUAAUUAACCUAUUACAAGAGAAGUUUGAUAGUAUGUUACGACAUGAAAUUUUUGUAUAAUUAUUCUUUUGGUAAUUGGAGAUCAUUAAUAAUCUAUUGGGA